UAUUCAUCACACGUUGAUCAUUUCACUUAAGAUCUCUCACAAAUUUUUGGCUUAGCUUUCAAGCCCAUCAAGAUCAGACAACAUAAGAUACAUAUAUACGAGGAACUCAUCAUGUCGUCAUUCUCUAACAAUUAUAGGAGGUUCGUGUUGAUAGCUAUAGUGACGGUGUUGGUGAUUUUGAUUGGUUCUCCUAAAUAUGGAGAAGCAUGGAGGCCAUUACUACAAGAUGAGUUCAUGCAAAUGCUUCCAAAAAGACCUCCAAACCCAUCAACCGGGGAUGAUACUAAUGGUAUACACGGCAAUCCACCACCAUUGCAGUGAAGACAAGACCAAAGAGAGCAAGGAAAAGACGUGCCAAGCUGGGUUUCUCUUCUCCGGAUUGGAACACUAUAAAUCUCAAGAACUCUCUUCUCU